GCCAUUGUAUAGGGUAUAUGGACCCAUGAGAGCAAACCUGUGAAAAUUUGGCUAAGUACCAGAAAUUGUGCUCUCGAGGUCCAGCCCUAGCUUCAGGGUCCGGACCCCAUACGCGUGAAAUGCCCUGCGUGGGCAGACUCGGGUGGAAUUGGUCUCGGGGUCCGGACCUUAGCUUUGGGGUCUGGACCCCGUAUGUGCAAAAUGCCCUGCGCAGGCAGACUGGGUGAGGUAUUGCUCUCGGGGUCCAGACCUUAGCUUCAGGGUCCGGACCCCGUAUGCGAAGAAUGCCCAGUGAGGGCUGAUUGGAAAUAAUGAAUUGAGAGGGGCUUUUGUGCUAAUUUGACAAGAUGAAUGGUUAUAUGGGCUAGGGUUUGAGUGAGAGCUCAUUUGCUCUCACUCCAACACAAAUUUCUCCCUCUCUCUCUCUAAAAACUCUUCUCUUCUCUCUUCCUCUCUCUCUAGAGCUUGGACAAGGAGAGGAUUUGGAGGAGUUUGGAAGUAGAAGAAGGCAAAGUUGAGGGUGUUGCUUGCAAAAGUGCAAGAGAUCAAGGAAAGCUUGGACUCCAAAGGUGAGUUCUCAUGAUUUGAGCUAGGUUUGGGUUUGUAUUCCUUCUAGCAUGUAUCUAGGAGGUGAAUUAGAGGUUUUCCCCUUAGUAUCCAUGCUUAGGGACUAAUUUUGGGAAAGAUGAUAUUGUACAAGGACCUAUACUUAGGGUUUUUGGAUUUUGAGAUCGAAGCUUAGGUUCGAUCUCAUUUUAACCUAACUAGUAGGUCAACGAACGCAUCGGUGCGCUCGGUUUGGCGAUACGACGAGCGUGCGCGAAGAUAUUGAGGAAAGAAGCUAAAUUGAUACAGAUUGCCGCAGCUCGCGGCGAAAGCAUCUAAAAAUCACGAAAACAGGACCGCGGCAUCCUAGCAUACCCAAAAGGUGGGGGGUACUGUCCGGAAACACCGGAUCUCAUUCUAUGUCUAUGUCACUCUAAUUGUGCAUAUUGAUAUUGAUGCAUUCAUGCAUGUAGGGUAGUAUGGUAUGAGUUUGGUUGAAUGCAUUUAAAUGCUUAAAGAAUAUGUGAAUUAACAAAGAACCAUGUAUGAAAGAACCCUAUGUGUAUUGAAUGCGAGAACGGACUAUGACAAUAGUAAACAAAGGUGACAUUGACAUUAGUGAUCAGAUUGGCACCGAGAAUGUAAAUGACUAAACAAGGUUUAGCUUAUUGUGGCUUCGGGACCAUUGUGACUCAGAAUUCGUGGUCUAUAUGGUAUGGUAGAUCCUAUCAUUGGCAUUGAGAUAUUGUGGCAUGAGACAGGUUUGGCUAUACUUCCUCAAAUUGAGGAUGGGAUCAUACUCACAUGUGUUGAUUCCGGCUUGUGUGAGGUAGCUCCUCCUGAAGCGGUGUACUCCGGAGUAUAGACACCACGGGUGAGAGUGCCCAGCGAAGAUCCCUCGGGCGACAGUGCCAUGUGCCUUCCACGGUAGAAGGGAUGGAUCCCUCGGGGGCAUUUUCAAAUGCUAAUCCCAGUAGAUAGGAUAUGUGAGAUGUGAGUUGGGGUGAACUUGAUGAACCCUGGAAAGAUUGGGUAAAGGCCAUGUAAAAAGAGGAAUGGACAUGCAUGCAUCAAAUUCAUGUAUUUGAUUAUCUAUCUAUCUGUUGACAGUUGUUUUGCAGGCAUUGUAUUAGUAAUAGCAUUAGAUGGUUUGAUAUCUACUUUUAUUGAAAUACAUAUGCCUGAAAUAGACCUAGUGGACGAAUCGGCGUGGUCGGCGGCCGAACCCACUGGAAACUUUGUUCUAGUUCUUAUUACCACUAACCCUGUAAAUCCGUGUGCAAGCGGGGCGGCGGAGGAUCAAGGCAAGGGUAUCGCGGCGUAGAUAGCGGCCCUCGGUGUAUAGGCAUACCCUACAUUUUGUGUACUCAACUUUUGUAUGUUGAACUAAUGAUGUAAAAGAUGUAGAACCUUAUAUUUUGGUUAAUGGCUAAUGUGAUGUAAAUAUGAAUGAAUGAAAAGAAUGAAUAUAAAUGAUGGUUUACUUGUGUUUGAUUCAAAGGGAAUCAAAUGACAUGUAUGGUGGAUAAAUGCUUAGUUAGUUUCGAUACUUUCACUAUUGUUGUUGUUUGCCCUCGAGCAAACCUUGUAUAUCUUGCAAUCUCCGUGUUAGCUUGCUUGUGUUAUACAUGUUGUUGGAGCCUUGGGCGGACAUGGGAGGUGCUGUUCGUUCGGAGUCUGUUACGUGCUCGAAUCCGACCAAAUUGGCGAGACUUGGGGCGUGACAUCCUUGCUUCCCUACUGUGUUUUUCUUAGAAAUUACUCGGUUUCCUCUCUACUAUUUUCUAGGGUUGGUGUUUCCUUUGUAUGUUCUAAUCUACUUACGAAUCUGGCCAUUUA
rnacentral:lncRNA from 1 species